GUAGGUUCUUCCUAGUGGAUUUGCUGCUGAGUGUUUAGGUUUUCCAAUGUGUUGGAUUUUGCUUUGGGUCUUCCUGUUUGCCAGAUUGCUAGUACCUGCCUGCCUCUGGACACUCUCUGCUAACCGGACUCAGAAAAUUGACGUCCUUGGGAGCUAUUCAGUCAACAUAACUGACACAUCGAGACGGGGGUGUGCCGGUGAAGUGCUCUGGCUGAUUCUACAGGAUAUCUACGGAGACCAGCAAUGAACAAGAUUGCAAUAAAAGAUCACAACCUCCGAGAUUAGGCUAAAUCAUGAGUCAUGUCACGUCUCUUGAUCUCAAUAGGCUACUCUUACUGCCUGUCUACUUUCAUUUAGACUACAUUAGCAUGUUAGUUUCUCUCCGUGAAUACAUUAAAAUCCACACACUGCUCUUACAUCAUGGUUGAUUUUUCAUCCAGAUUUAGCAUAUCUAUCUCCUGAUCACAAAUAUCCCUGCAAGAAUGAAUUAUGUACCAGAGGACUUAAACCCAUGAAAGAAACAUGACAACAAAAUAAGGCAAUGGCCUAGAAUAAAUGGGGUUGCAGAACCUAAAAUAUUUUUUUCUUUAUUUUUAUUAUUAGCAGAUUUAAAUUGUUAACUAAUAAUCAUGUAACGGUUGACAGAGGCACAUUUAAAUGCACUGUAGUCUACUAACGUGUAGCUGUAUAAAUACAUGAUGUAUGCAAAUAAUGUCAUGAAAAAAAUAAGAAUUUACAAAUGUUUUGUUUCAUGAUUAACGAAUGAAUGUGUUUUGCAGUCCAUACCAGUAAUUCAAACUUAAAUCUGUCUAUGUAUCUCUCACACUAUCUUUCACUUAGACUUCACAAAAUAUACACUGUGAAUCAGUGGUGGAAGAAGUAUUCAGUGCAAAACUGUAAAAAUAC